UUCACCGAAAUUACAAGAAAUAUAAUCUCUCACUUCUAGUGGUAUUUAGCCGUGCAGAUAGAUUUGGUUUUACUUGACAAGGUUUUAGGUGAUCUGUCUUUGAGAUCUAUGACACAUGGCAAGUUACCUUCAUGUAUGUUUUCUUCUUCUUCUUCUUCAAAGUACAAAAAGAACAGUCUCUAGAGAGUUUUAACUCUCAAACAAUGCAUGCAAGGAAGUCUGCUACGCUGAUCAUGUUUCUUCAAAAACUUAAUUUAACGAGUUGAGGGAACUCUCGGCAGUACAUUCGUUCAACUCUUCAUCUCAAGCCAGAAGAACUCAUGCUUAUCAGGUCAAGAUCAAGGUCAAGGUUAGACAGACAAAGGUCAAACCCCUCCACAAUGUCUCCACAAUGUCAAGAUAUACUGUAAUUCAGUUGAAAUGCCCUGCGCAGGAAGGAAGUGCUCACCCACUGGUCGCCUGUUCCAUCUUCAGGAGCUCUAUGGGAGGGAGGGAGGAUUUCAGUGCAAUAUUUACAGUGACCUUUUCCUCUCACUGGCCAGGGGCCCAUGGGAAAAAACUGGAGAAGACAAACAAUGAACAAUAGGGUUCAGGGAUGAGCAAUGGUGCCAGCGCAGCAUGUGCCAUUACGGGAUGUGGAUUACAGAGGGUUGGGGGGUCACAGCAAGGAUCAAGGCACCAUCGAUGUCCCCUCAAGACCUGGGACACCUGCUCAGAAAGCCUAUUCUAUUUAAAAACACGACGAGCAAUGACAUGUGCCUCGCUAAAUGAGAAUAUUGUAAGGUAUAUGUGUUUAUAUUUGGUUCAACAUUUUGGUAAAUAUGCUUAUUUGCUUUCUUGCCAAGAGUUGGAUGCAAAGAUUGAUACCACUCUUCUAUUUGUCCAUUAAAUAGCAUUAAUUAGCAUAAAGACUGAGACAGAAACAAGGGUCCCUAUGAGUUAAGGCCAGUUAGUGAGCUUUAGAGGUGCUGGUAGGCCAACUUUAUGCUAAGCUAAGCCAUCCGCCUUCUGAUUCCACCUUCAUAUUAAAAGGACAAGUGUAACAGUAAUAUUGAUCUUCUCAUCAUCUGGCAAUAAAGUGAAUAAGCUCAUUUCCCAAAGCAUUAAACUUUUCAUGUAAUUGAAAGAGGACUCUGUGUAAGUGGUUCUUGCUGUUCUGCGCUGUAAAAUGUUGGUGGGCAAGUACUAAUAAAUACUGAUAUUAUAUUCAUAUUACAUUAAAUAUUUUCCCAGGAUAUUUUCCCAUACAUUACAUGAUAAUAUCUCUUUGCAUGACACUUAUAAUGCACCAGAUAACCCACUGAUUUGUAGCUUCACUAGUUGGUAUGUGUGAUAUACCACUGUCGUUGUCAUUCAUUAGCAAAGGCCGCACCACUGAGAAUAAGAUCAAAAUCUU